AUGACGAGCACGGUGAGCAGCAGCUGCAUGGCCCGCACGCGGCGCUGGCGACCCUGGCGCAGCAGCCCCGGACGCGACAGGGCGCACACGAUGCGGCCCGUGAACACACUGAUGACCAGCAGCUGGCAGCAGGAACUCCAGGACGGUGAGCGCGAGGACGCGGCAGCAAGGCCCGCUGCCCGCCGCCACGCCCAGCACCGACAGGGUCACGGCCCCCGCCGCCAUCCACACGAAGGCGCACGUGGCCCUGGCGCAGGCGGGCUGGCGCCAGCGGCGGGAGCCAUCGGGCUGCACGAUGGCCAGGUAGCGGUCCACGCAGAUGCAGGUGAGGAAGAGGACGGAGCAGUGCAUGUUCAGGAAGUAGCCGAAGACGUGCGGGAAGGCGCAUCGCAGGCAGCCGCGCGUGCCGUAGAAGACGGCGAAGCGCGUGGGCAGGGACAGCCCCACCAGCAGGUCGGUCACCACCAGGUUGAUGGUGUAGAUGACCGAUGGCGUCUUGGCCUGGGUGCGGCAGCAGAAGACGUACAGCGCCAGCCCAUUGAGCACCAGCCCCGCCAGGAAGAUGACGCCGUGCACGGCCAUCAGUGCCAGCCACAGCCCCGGGAAGGCGGCGUGCAGCUCCUCGUCCAGCCGGGCGAACUGCUGGAACAGGGGAUUCUCCGGCUCGCUGCUGUUGGCCGCCGCUGUGGCGUUGGGGACCGCCGGGGCCCAGGACCCCACGGGAGACGCAGAGGACAUGACGGCGGCCGGCACGCGGCGUGGGCCUGGAAGGAAGGAGACGGGUCACCUCUGGGUGUCAGAGCUGGGCCUGCUUACCUGCUCACCGAGUCCCCAGCAUUCCCAUCAUUGGGCCUUUGGGGCCCUAAAAUGCCUGCCCUCUGCCCUCUGCCCUCCGCGGGACCUCCCCCUUGCACUUGCCGGGGUGGAGCUUCAGCAGAGUGUGAGUGUCCUGAGCCCUGCUCCUCACUCCUCAGUGUAGCAGGAAGUAAAGCCCCGCGCUGGGGACGCCUGGGGGGUCUUUGGCUCAGGGCGUGA
rnacentral:lncRNA from 1 species